GAACCUUAUCAAAUGUAUAAACAACAAACAAAAUAAAAAAAAUGUCUAAAGUGAAAUGUUCACACUGUUUCUUUGCAGGCGUCUCAACAGGCGUAUAGCCUUCAAACUGUACUCACACAAUAUGGUGCAUUUGAAAGGCCGUAACGCACAGGUCUGGAUCAGCCAACGGAAUGAGGGCCCAUGCAGCAGGCGAUGCAGGCACUUGGCCUACAGGCGCCCUGUCAGCUUGUGCUGAGCAGACAGCCCCUCAGGCACAGGCACCCGCAUCCACAUAAGGAGGGUGGUCAUGAGCAGCUUCGUCAAAAACAAGUGCCAUCAGGUUGAAGACAUAGUCUGUGAAGUGUGAAAAGGUCUUUAUGUUCUUUUGGCACUUGGAGUAUUUUCUUCGGAUAAAUGGUUUAUUUUUUUGGUAAAACUUUUUGGGGUAAAACCUUUGUAAAAGUCCUCCCUUUAGAUGUUGUCAUUUGUGGAUGGUCAGCAUUCUCAUUGAAGUGAAUUGCUGCCAGGUAUAAUCUGGACCACAAGACAAACAACCAAUUCAAUAAUAUAUUGACCGUUAGACCUGAUGUCUCCUGUCCACUGUUCAUGAAUCACACCUUUACAGGCCAAAACUCUCUCAGACAGAAUAUUUUGGUGAGUCCUCUUUUAUAUGUUACCCAG
ensembl:lncRNA